rnacentral:rRNA from 1 species
UCUGUGAACUCCUACGGGAGGCAGCAGUGGGGAAUUUUGGACAAUGGGGGCAACCCUGAUCCAGCAAUGCCGCGUGAGUGAAGAAGGCCUUCGGGUUGUAAAGCUCUUUUGUCAGGGAAGAAACGGUAGUAGCUAAUAUCUAUUACUAAUGACGGUACCUGAAGAAUAAGCACCGGCUAACUACGUGCCAGCAGCCGCGGUAAUACGUAGGUGGCAAGCGUUGUCCGGAUUUAUUGGGCGUAAAGCGAGCGCAGGCGGAAUGAUAAGUCUGAUGUGAAAGCCCACGGCUCAACCGUGGAACUGCAUCGGAAACUGUCAUUCUUGAGUGCAGAAGAGGAGAGUGGAAUUCCAUGUGUAGCGGUGGAAUGCGUAGAUAAAUGGAAGAACACCAGUGGCGAAGGCGGCUCUCUGGUCCGCAACUGACGCUGAGGCUCGAAAGCAUGGGUAGCGAACAGGAUUAGAAACCCCAGUAGUCCAUCAGCG